rnacentral:rRNA from 1 species
GACUCGUCACACUAUCAUUAACUGAAUCCAUAGGUUAAUGAGGCGAACCGGGGGAACUGAAACAUCUAAGUACCCCGAGGAAAAGAAAUCAACCGAGAUUCCCCCAGUAGCGGCGAGCGAACGGGGAGGAGCCCAGAGCCUGAAUCAGCAUGUGUGUUAGUGGAAGCGUCUGGAAAGGCGCGCGAUACAGGGUGACAGCCCCGUACACAAAAGCGCAUGUGCUGUGAGCUCGAUGAGUAGGGCGGGACACGUGGUAUCCUGUCUGAAUAUGGGGGGACCAUCCUCCAAGGCUAAAUACUCCUGACUGACCGAUAGUGAACCAGUACCGUGAGGGAAAGGCGAAAAGAACCCCGGCGAGGGGAGUGAAAAAGAACCUGAAACCGUGUACGUACAAGCAGUGGGAGCACAGGUUUACCUGUGUGACUGCGUACCUUUUGUAUAAUGGGUCAGCGACUUAUAUUCUGUAGCAAGGUUAACCGAAUAGGGGAGCCGGAGGGAAACCGAGUCUUAAUUGGGCGUUAAGUUGCAGGGUAUAGACCCGAAACCCGGUGAUCUAGCCAUGGGCAGGUUGAAGGUUGGGUAACACUAACUGGAGGACCGAACCGACUAAUGUUGAAAAAUUAGCGGAUGACCUGUGGCUGGGGGUGAAAGGCCAAUCAAACCGGGAGAUAGCUGGUUCUCCCCGAAAGCUAUUUAGGUAGCGCCUCGUGAAUUCAUCUCCGGGGGUAGAGCACUGUUUCGGCUAGGGGGCCAUCCCGGCUUACCAACCCGAUGCAAACUGCGAAUACCGGAGAAUGUUAUCACGGGAGACACACGGCGGGUGCUAACGUCCGUCGUGAAGAGGGAAACAACCCAGACCGCCAGCUAAGGUCCCAAAGUCAUGGUUAAGUGGGAAACGAUGUGGGAAGGCCCAGACAGCCAGGAUGUUGGCUUAGAAGCAGCCAUCAUUUAAAGAAAGCGUAAUAGCUCACUGGUCGAGUCGGCCUGCGCGGAAGAUGUAACGGGGCUAAACCAUGCACCGAAGCUGCGGCAGCGACGCUGAUGCGUUGUUGGGUAGGGGAGCGUUCUGUAAGCCUGCGAAGGUGGCCUGUGAGGGUUGCUGGAGGUAUCAGAAGUGCGAAUGCUGACAUAAGUAACGAUAAAGCGGGUGAAAAGCCCGCUCGCCGGAAGACCAAGGGUUCCUGUCCAACGUUAAUCGGGGCAGGGUGAGUCGACCCCUAAGGCGAGGCCGAAAGGCGUAGUCGAUGGGAAACGGGUUAAUAUUCCCGUACUUGGUGUUACUGCGAAGGGGGGACGGAGAAGGCUAUGUUGGCCGGGCGACGGUUGUCCCGGUUUAAGCGUGUAGGUGUGUGUUCCAGGUAAAUCCGGUUCACUUUAACACUGAGGCGUGAUGACGAGGCACUACGGUGCUGAAGCAACAAAUGCCCUGCUUCCAGGAAAAGCCUCUAAGCAUCAGGUAACAUCAAAUCGUACCCCAAACCGACACAGGUGGUCAGGUAGAGAAUACCAAGGCGCUUGAGAGAACUCGGGUGAAGGAACUAGGCAAAAUGGUGCCGUAACUUCGGGAGAAGGCACGCUGACA